AAAGAAUCCAACGAAGGUGAAAGCCGAAUCUCACACGGUACUAAGUUCCAUAGAGUAGGACGGUCCUGCUUUCAAAAAGGCACGAUCACCAAAAGACUUUCUACGUGUGCUUGGAACAUGAAGAAGCCCUAGUUCGUCCGAUCUCAAAGAGUAGUUAUUACUUUGUUUAUAAGUCAACAUGUCACAAAUAUAUUUGGGAGCCAAUCCAUGCUGAGCUUUAUAAACCAACAGUACGAUCUUGAAUAUAACACGAUAUUUAACCGGUAACCAAUGCAG